AAAGCAUGGUGAGGGCAUUUCGUAAACAUCUCCUUAAAUCUCACCCAACCUUUAUAAAUUGAUUCACCUCAAAAUGGGAAAAAGAAGUUAUAUCAUUUAUAAGUUU